GUAGGUGAACCUGCGGAAGGAUCAUUAAUGCUACUUUCCACUUGAGGACUUGCUUGGCUUGGAAAAUCUUUCAAACCGCAUUCCACAAGCGUGAACUUGUAUCUCUUAUCUUAAACGCUUAAGGAACUUUUCAUUAAGUUCCCUAACGUACCAAGUAACUUGAGAAGCCUUUGCUGUUUUUUCGGAGAUAGCAAAGUGUCUUUCUCACUUUUUUUUUAACUACCAUAAUUACCCUAUUAACUUAUAAACUAUUAGACUGAUAUAAAAUAACAUUUAUUUUAUAAAUGUAUGAUACAACUCUUAGCAAUGGAUAUCUAGGCUCUU
rnacentral:misc_RNA from 1 species